rnacentral:rRNA from 1 species
GACGAACGCUGGCGGCGUGCCUAAUACAUGCAAGUCGGACGCAGUUGCGAACGGGUGAGUAACGCGUAGGUAACUAGCUAUUAGAGGGGACUAACUAUUGGAAACGAUAGCUAAUACCGCCUACUCGUAGAUGGACCUGCGUUGUAUUAGGUAGUAGGUAGGGUAAUGGCCUACCUAGGCAACGAUACAUAGCCGACGUGGAAUGGUGGACGGCCACAACUGGAACGAGGCACCGCCCAGACUCCUAAGGGAGGCAGCAGUAGGGAAUCUUCGGCAAUGGGGGGAACCCUGACCGAGGAACUGCGCGGUAGUGAAGAAGGGUUUCGGAUCGUAAAGCUACGUUGUUAAGGAAGCGGUACUUAACCAGAAAGGGACGGCUAACUACGUGCCAGCAGCCGCGGUAAUAC